rnacentral:lncRNA from 1 species
AGUAUUCUCCAUUACUAUUUUUCAACCACACCAAAUCAUCUGGGAUUCUCCUCGUGCUAGGUUUUAACUUCAGGAUUUGUUCUCUGUGUGCAGGGAGGAUGGAAUCAAUUUUUGGGAUAUCCCACUCCGUUGUUCCUGGAAUUAGCAAGUCAGCCACCUUCACAGAGAGAAGAGCUUCUGGUGCUGGGCCGUACGGUCUGAGUUGCUCAGAGUGAGAUAACCAAGGAUCGUUCCAGAUGUUGAUUUCUUCC